rnacentral:rRNA from 1 species
ACGGAGGGUGCAAGCGUUGUCCGGAUUUAUUGGGUUUAAAGGGUGCGUAGGCGGUACGUUAAGUCAGUGGUGAAAUCCUUCCGCUCAACGGGAGAACUGCCAUUGAUACUGGCGUACUUGAGUAUGGACGAGGUAGGCGGAAUUUAUGGUGUAGCGGUGAAAUGCAUAGAUACCAUAAAGAACACCGAUAGUGAAGACAGCUUACUAGACCAUAACUGACGCUGAGGCACGAAAGCGUGGGGAGCGAACAGG